rnacentral:rRNA from 1 species
CCUACGGGAGGCAGCAGUGAGGAAUAUUGGUCAAUGGACGAGAGUCUGAACCAGCCAAGUAGCGUGAAGGAUGACUGCCCUAUGGGUUGUAAACUUCUUUUAUAUGGGAAUAAAAUGUUCUACGCGUGGGUUUUUGUAUGUAUCAUACGAAUAAGGAUCGGCUAACUCCGUGCCAGCAGCCGCGGUAAUACGGAGGAUCCGAGCGUUAUCCGGAUUUAUUGGGUUUAAAGGGUGCGUAGGUGGAUUGUUAAGUCAGUUGUGAAAGUUUGCGGCUCAACCGUAAAAUUGCAGUUGAGACUGGCAGUCUUGAGUACAGUAGAGGUAGGCGGAAUUCGUGGUGUAGCGGUGAAAUGCUUAGAUAUCACGAAGAACUCCGAUUGCGAAGGCAGCUCACUAGGCUGCAACUGACACUGAGGCUCGAAAGUGUGGGUAUCAAACAGGAUUAGAUACCCGAGUAGUC